GAGCUAGCAAUAAUGCAUCAUCUUUCCUCCUCCCCUUCAUUCCCAAGAGUGGGGCUUCAAGCAGUAUCAGAACUAUUGGCCAGCACCACUCUCCUCUGUCCCUCCACAGCCCAACCAAGUUAGGACUCGUCAUGUGACCUACAGCCAAAGAAUGGAAAUGGAAAUGUGAAGCUUGCAGAAAGACUUCCGCAGGGAGUUGAUUCAACUGGAAGGUAGAAAACGUGGAGGAAUAACUAUGCAUCUCCCUCGCACUGGUAAUGUCAACGUGGAGAUGGGUGUAUAUGAACACAAGGAUGGAGGAGCUCAAGUGGAUGAAGAAUCAAUGAAGUAGGAUUUCCCCCAAGUGCUCCAAUGUGUGCUGAGAAUACAACUCAAGCCAACUCAACUUGCUGUGAACGCUGGAGCUUUAAUCUUUCAAGAACACACUUCCUUCCUGUAUUUCUAGUAAUUACUGUUUCUGGCUUUUCUGGAAAUCCCUCCAGUCAUCUUGACUCUCUCCUCCAAAAGAACUGAGUCAUAAAAAUAGAAUCAUGAGAAAAGUUAAUUUGACCCCUUUGCUCCCUGAAAUGUGCUGGGUGAAAAGAGCCUGGGGGAAUGGGCUGAGAGUUGGGGGAAGUUCUUCUUCAACUGGUUCUUCCAUCUCAAAGAAAAAUAAACUAAAGGAAAGAAUAAAUGUUUUAAGUUAGUCAUCCACAGGAAAGAGAUUUUGUGGGGAAAAUUCACAUUUGGACUAUUCUAGUAUUUAUAGACAGCGUCUUGAACCUGAGAUCCAUAAAUGGGUUUUAUCAAAAUAUAUGAUCCUCCAGAAACUGUUUUUGUGUCUGCUUAUGUUUUUCUAAGGAGAGGAUCCAUAGCUUUUAUCAGAUUCUCAAAAGGGUCCGUGACACUCCAAAAGGUGAAAACUACUCACUUAGAAGUUAACUUAGUUUAUCUACUGUUAUACAAACAAAUUACCCCAAAACUUAACUGUGUGAUACAGCUACCAUUAGCUCACAGGUUGAAUGGGGCAGGAAUUGAGGAGUGGCUUAGCUG